rnacentral:rRNA from 1 species
UACGUAGGGUGCAAGCGUUGUCCGGAAUCAUUGGGCGUAAAGCGCGUGUAGGCGGCCCGAUAAGUCCGCUGUGAAAGUCCAGGGCUCAACCCUGGGAUGCCGGUGGAUACUGUCGGGCUCGAGUCCGGAAGAGGCGAGUGGAAUUCCUGGUGUAGCGGUGAAAUGCGCAGAUAUCGGGAGGAACACCAGUGGCGAAGGCGACUACCUGGCCUGUUCUUGACGCUGAGGCGCGAAAGCUAGGGGAGCAAACGGG